rnacentral:piRNA from 1 species
UUCAAUUUAUACAGAAGAGAGGAUGG